rnacentral:tRNA from 1 species
GCGGAGUUGUGGCUCAGUGGUAGAGCACCAGCCUAGCACAUGGGAGGCACUGGGUUCGAUCCUCAGCACCGCA